GAUCCUGGCUCAGGAUGAACGCUGGCGGCGUGCCUAACACAUGCAAGUCGAACGGAAUUUACAUGAAGCCUAGCGAUUGUAAAUUUAGUGGCGGACGGGUGAGUAACGCGUGGGUAACCUGCCUUGUACUGGGCGACAACAGUUGGAAACGACUGCUAAUACCGCAUAAGCGCACAGCUUCGCAUGAAGCAGUGUGGAAAACUCCGGUGGUACAAGAUGGACCCGCGUCUGAUUAG
rnacentral:rRNA from 1 species